AUACAUGUGCACACUGACUUCUGCAUUAGUUCUUGAAUAAAGUUGCACCACAUUUGAGGUUACACUUCACUAUUGAGUGAUGUUUUUUGCAUACAUGCCAGAUUUUUUAGGUCCAAAGCGGGACAUUCCAUAAAAAAUUGUCGGGACAUUUGACCAAAAAGCAGGACACCUAAAACGAUCUAUCAUUCCACCUUUACUGUAGCCAGUAUAGUACUAGCAAAAACUCUUGAUACUUUUAUUCAAGACAUAAAACAUCUGAUAUGAAGCAUGAAAUCUAAAACAUAACAAUAAUAGUUUCAUUAUAUAAAACAAUAGCAAACAACGAAGAUAAUAUUCAUCUUUUUAGAGUAAAAAUCUGGAACAUUACGACAACAAUACUCAUUAUAUUUCUUUCAAUGGCAAACAUUAACGCAGGGGAGGCUAUCCAGUACUUUAAAAGUACGGGUUACAGUAAACUUACUUGUCAAUUGUCGCGGCUUAAUUGGAGUAGGGUCAAACUGUCAUGCAUAGCACCUCGUUGUUUUUACAAUUACACCCAAUUACACUAGACAGGAUGGGUAUCACUUAUUGGACUGUUUGUUGCGAUUUUGGUAUAUUGCACAUUCGGAUUAUCCCGCUAUUUUGGAACUUAACAUUAAAUGUAAAAGACUCAUUAAUGACGUAGAGUUAAUUUUUCAAAAUAAUUGUUUUGUAAACCGUUUCAAACAAAGACAAAAACAAACACAUUUUCAACAUUUAUUUCAUUAUUAUACAACUAUCGAUAGCAAUAAGCGACUACUAUCUUGAAGACCACCAUGGUGUGAAUGCCUGAUAAAAUCAAUAAUUAGCCGAUAAAUCGCUGAUAAGGUGUCAUAAACAACACUGGUACACACAAGAAGUAGAAUCAGAUUGUUAAUUGGGGGCAAUAAAGGGAUUGGCGGUGGUAAGUGUUAGCGAAACAGAGCUUGAAUAGCGAAUUUUAUUGGGAACCUAUAGACCUUGCAUCGUUUUUUACGAAUGUCGGGACAAAUCGUCUCAUAUCGGAACGCCGGGACAAAGGGCCCAAAAGCAGGACUGUCCCGCCGAGAUCGGGACGUCUGGCAUGUAUGGUUUUUUGUGGUACAUUUUCAUAUAAAUGUCUGCAUUGACUAUAAUUAAGUUGGAGAACAUUUAUGCUAGAAUGUUAACUGGUAAGUUAUUAAUCUUCUAAGCCAUGCACUCAUGGAUUUGGCUGUAUUAUGUUUGCUACCUUAAUGUUUGACAAAGUCUGAUAAUAUUUAGUUAUAUUUGACAGUGUAUUGGGUACCGAUAUUUUUUCCCUAACUUUUUAUGCCCCACUUCAAAGAAGAGGGGGUAUGUUGUUUUGCUGGAUGUUGAUCGGUCUGUCAGUCAGUCUGUCUUUCUGUCGGUAGACCCAUUUGUUUCUGAUCAAUAACUAGUCAACAAAUUGACCGAUUGGCUUGAUACUUCACAUAUGCACUAGCCUUGGACAGUAGAUGACCCCUAUUGAAAUUGGGGUCACUAAGUCAAAGAUCAAGUCACUGUCACAAUAAGUGUGACAAUUGUUUCCAAUCAAUAACUUGUCAACAAUUUGAAUGAUUGGCUUUAUACUUCACAUUGGAUUGACCUUGGACAGUACAUGACCCCUAGUGAAAUUGGUCCUGUGUGGGGGGCACAUGUCCACGACCGCGGAACUCUUGUUUAACAUAUUUUCUGUAAAAACUAAAAAUCACUCAAGGGUCUUUCAUUUUCUUAAAUAUUACUUUAUGUAUAUCAUUAUAAGAUUCAUAUAAUUACUGUGUACAUGUAUCUCAAUUUAUUCAAAUUUCAUUCAAAGAUUUAUGGAUUACAUUUAAUUCAGCAAAGAAUAUACAUUAAUUCUGCAUAAAUUAGUCAUAGAAGUUUCAAUCAUUUUUAGAAAAUGUUGUGGGGGUGGGUCUUUUAUUUUGGUGGGGACUGUUGUUAGUAAAUACUUAUGAAAUGUAUGUCAUUAAAGUCACUUGUUUAUGAACUGAUAUCAUGACAAUGCCUUUAUAUUGUCUAUGUUUUUCAUGUGUUAAGGAAUGAUUUUUGUGUUAUUUUCUAUGCUUUUCAUUGAAUUGAUUUUGUUUAUGUCUGCAUAUACUGUUUUAGACAAUGUACUCCCUUGUCAAAAAAUAACCCACUUUCAUACCAAAACACACUUAAACCAACAUAAAACUGUGUUUUUUCUGAGUUUUUCUUAGCGGAAGUUGGUUUUUGCUAAUAAAAGUGAGUUUUAUGUGCGCUAAACUGUGCUUAACUGAGUUUAAAGUUGGUUAUUUUAAGAAGAUGUGUGUUUAAGCGAGUUUUUUUCAGUAAGAAGUCGGUUUUUUGUGUGUCAAAAGUGAGCCUUUUUAUUUAUGAGUUGGUUUAUGUGUGUUUAAGUGUGUCUUUUUGUUUUAUAAGCGAGUCUUUUACAACAGAAGUUGGUCUUUUUUUAAACAGAAGUGGGUUUAAGCGAGUUUAACUUGGUCUUUUUGUAAAUAAGUUGAGAGCUGCAACGAGGCUUAAAGACUCACUUUAACACACUUUUCAACAAGUUGGUCUUUUGUUUAUUAAUAUAACUCAUCAAUGAAACAAUAAUUCUUCAACUGGGUCUUUGUUUGAUGUUUAUAGCCAUAAAUAAAACAAGUAAAUUGUAAAGGGGCUUUUUUUACAGCUUGUUUGCCAUUGUCCCUAUUGUACAUUUGUGUGCUCCCCAUAAUUUUUAGGGAAUAUUGGAUGAAAAUGGCUCUUUCAGAACAUCACAGGUUCACAGAUGGACAACAAGUAUCACUGACAAAAACUAACAAUGGUCAAGCUUAGUUUUAUACAUGAAAAUGAAAGAGUUUGUGUUUCACUUUGAAUUUUUUCUUUAUGUUUGUUUUUAUUAUAAACAAUAUCUUAUGAUUGUUUUAUGUCUUAAUUUUUUAAUUUUUUUUAAACAAUCUCAUAUGAUUGUUUAUAUUUGUUUAAAACAGUAUUUACUUGUAAAAUCUGCAUAUUUAAAUAAUUAUGGUAUUGGAAACAUUAUUUUGGAAAUAAUCUAUUUAUUUUUGUACAUAAGUUAUGCAAGAUUUUGAUAUUUGCAUAUGAUACCAUCAUAUCCAUUUUCUUAAUUUGGAAUAAAAUAAUAAAAUGCCAAACAUUACCUGUGUUACAUAAACUGUCAACAAAAUAACAAGACAAUACCUUAAAACACCCUUAUUUCACACCACUAACAAUAAACAGAUAACAAUCUGUCAGGCAUUCAGAGCUAAACAGGGUACUGAUUAUCUAGGGGUAGAUAAGGCUACUGAUGGGGUCCUAGAGAUAAGGCUGUGUGGAAUAAGAUAUAAGGCUUUUGAUUGGCUAUUGCACUGAGGAAGUUAUCUUUUUGAAAACAACAACUUUUGAAAAACAAGCUGGUGUCAGCAACUGAAUAUUGAGCUAAAUUUAAUUCAGCAACAUUAAUAUAAAGAAGUGAAAGACUUAUAAUGGUAGUGUAAAAUGUCUUGAAAUUCUGUCAGCAUGAAGUAUUGUGUGAUGAAAACAAUGUGUUUUUUACUGCAAGUGGAAAUCAAUAAUAAGUUGGUUGGAAAGGAGGUUGAACUGCCUGUUGUUGUUUUUGGAAUACUGGAGAACAGUUUUAACAGGUUUGUAUUGUCAUUUCUUCACCCCUUUUUUUAUUUAGUUUAUUGAAUUAAUUAUGAUCAUUAUCAUAUUUAUGUAUUGUCACUGGGAAAUGUAAAUGGAUAAGUUAUUGUAUUGCAAUUUAAAGGAUAAACAACACAUUUUGAAGCAAAAAUAGAUAAACUUACACAUGAAAAAGUGUAAAUGUUGUGUACAGUGAAUAAUUAUGGUUGUGUUUCAUGGUUAUUGUCAUCUAAAAUUUUAUUUAUAUCUAUUUCUGGUUAUUACUGAACGGAUUUCUUUCCCUCUUACUUAAUUAGAACUUAUAUAUUUUAAUUUUGAAGGUUAAACUCUUGCCACAAGGCAAAAUUGACAUCGUUGGGAAGAUCCUUUGGAAAGAAUGUGCAUCAUCGCCUGCCUGAUGUAUGGACUUUUAAACCUGGUUUUUACCCUGCACAAGCUGGCAAACUUGAGGGGAACAAGAGUGGGAAAACCUCGCCCUGUCCUUGACCAAGAAAGCUCGAUUUGUUGAGAGAUCAACUGGCAUAAGAGAUGCUCAAGAGGAGAAGGACACAAGCAGCAUCAAUGGAACAACUACAUGUCGCUCCAGCGCCCGCUUUCCAGGUCUCUACCAGCUGCUUUCCAGGUCCCUCCACCCGCCAAGAUCAGGUCUAGGUCCCUGCACUGGCUGCUUUCCAGGUCCCCUAGCGGUCAAGGUCUCUCCAGUAGCUGCUGUGCAGGUCCCAACACCGUAUGCCGUCAAGGUCCCUCCUUAAGCUGAAAUCCAGGUUCCUCAUUCCACUGCGGUUCAGGUACCUCCAACAGCUGAGAUCCAGGUCUCUGCAGCAGCUGCGGUCUAAAUACUCCACCCGCAGUGGUCCAUUGCGGUCAAACUUUUGCUUUAAAAUCUUCCAUAAAUGUCUAUUAUUUUAUAAUGUAUUGUAAAAAUAAUCUGUUAGUAUUAAUUUGCGGUGUACUAUUUUUGUCAUAUAAACAUAAUUUUCGUA